rnacentral:rRNA from 1 species
AUUGAACGCUGGCGGCAGGCUUAACACAUGCAAGUCGAGCGGGGAAGGUAGCUUGCUACCGGACCUAGCGGCGGACGGGUGAGUAAUGCUUAGGAAUCUGCCUAUUAGUGGGGGACAGCAUCUCGAAAGGGAUGCUAAUACCGCAUACGUCCUACGGGAGAAAGCAGGGGAUCUUCGGACCUUGCGCUAAUAGAUGAGCCUAAGUCGGAUUAGCUAGUUGGUGGGGUAAAGGCCUACCAAGGCGACGAUCUGUAGCGGGUCUGAGAGGAUGAUCCGCCACACUGGGACUGAGACACGGCCCAGACUCCUACGGGAGGCAGCAGUGGGGAAUAUUGGACAAUGGGGGGAACCCUGAUCCAGCCAUGCCGCGUGUGUGAAGAAGGCCUUAUGGUUGCAAAGCACUUUAAGCGAGGAGGAGGCUACUCUAGUUAAUACCUAGGGAUAGUGGACGUUACUCGCAGAAUAAGCACCGGCUAACUCUGUGCCAGCCGCCGCGGUAA